ACAAUUGGGUUCUUUUUCCACCAAUGCAUGCUAGUAGAUACCCAUAGACUUCCAGUAUUGGCUCGCGAAACUAUCUCCAACUUCCUUUAUUUUGGACACAGAGAUAUAAAGAUGUAUCCACAAGUUCAUCUGACUCUGGGGAUGUAGAUAAAGGGCCUCAUUGCCAGAAUUCUAAAGUAUCCCUUUAACAUAGAAACCUGCGGUCGAGGCUGCUGUUUUCUUUCACUUUAACUUGAAUCAUUUUCUAUUAGGGUAUCUUAACUUUUACUCAAGUAUGACAAUUGGGUACUUUUUCCACCACUGUCUACGUAAACACGGGUAACAACUCAGGGUAGAGUCUAGAGGAGCUGCACUACCAAGGGUUCCUGAGGGUGGAUGAGGUGGAGGUCAAGGUGCCAGUAGACAUUGACUGUGACUCCUUGACAGCGCUGGACCAGAUAGCCUCCUUGAGGACUCUUCAGGAGGAGAUGAACAGACUGCUGGACAUGGACACUUUGGAUUGUCUCUCGAGAACAAUUCGCUUUGAAAGCAGACCAAUUCCGGAGAGGAGUGGAUGCGCAAAGACAUAUUGCAGUGGUGUACGCACCGCCACCCCGUACGCUUCAAAACCUGGAGAUCCCUUACAUCUAUUGACGCAACAUGGGGCUGAACAUGAGGUGGAGGUCAAGGUGCUAGAGAUCGACUUCGCUUCAUUCACCCUGAACUGGAUUUCUUUCUCCAGUACUCUUCAGGCGAACGACAGAGUGCUGGACAUGGACAAGGUGAAUUGUCGCUCCCUGUUUUUACAUUUUUUAUAUAAUUCGGCAAGUCAGUUACCCUGGCCAAACCCUAACGACGCUGGGCCAAUUGUGCACCGCACUAAUGUCGAGAACAGUUCACCUUGAAACCAGCCCAAUUCCCGUGAGGAAUGGAAGCGCAAAGACGUAUUGCAGUAGUGUACGGUCGCCAGUCAAGAUUGGCCGCGGCUUUUGUGGCGCGAUGGGUAACGAUGCUUCGUGGGGUGUCAGUUGUUGAUGUGUGCAAGGGUCCCUGGUUCGAGCCCUGGUUGGGGCGAAGAGAGGGACGGAACCUACACUGUUACAUUCAGGCAAAAAAGUGAGCCUCCGAAUCCUGAUGGACUCUCCGGAGGAGCUUUUUGGUAUCACUCAGGAUAUGAUAUAUACACAGAUGUCCAGGAUAGAGUGAUUGAAGUGCUACAGGACAUGUACUUGGCGGCUAACCAGCUAGAGCAACAGCUAUUCCAGAGUGUCUCUGACAGGCAAGCCAGAGCCAUUGUAAAGGCGGUAGUGCAGCAGAUCAAUGCCGCCCUGUCCAGUGCUCUCCAACAAACCUGCUCGGGAUCACAAUUUCUUUUCUAUAGUGGGAUCUGCAAAAAUGGGUUGGCAGUGGUUGUCACGGAUCCCUCCGUAACGUUCAUUACGCACACCUGUCUCCUAUUCCCACUGACUAGUACUUGUAUAAGUGUGCCCUUUGGCUUCCAUUGGGUGGUCCAUUAUUGUUACAAUGUGCGUGUGAGUACCUGUGCUGUGUGUUUUGGGGUUUCGUGCCAUUGUGGAUUGCGCAGAUGAUUACGGGUCUUGUCCCGUGUGAUAAUCAUUAUGCGCGUGUGUUUAUUCGAGGUGCUCCUCACUCUUUUGUUUGGGUUUCAACCCUGUGUUUUUGUUACGUGUUUGUUUGGUCUUCGUUCCCGUGCCUUUACACGGCACGCCGUAAUUUGGGC
rnacentral:lncRNA from 1 species